AGAGUUUGAUUCUGGCUCAGAACGAACGCUGGCAGCGUGGAUUAGGCAUGCAAGUCGAACGUGAAGCCGAUGACCAAUCUUUCGGGAAAGUGAUUCGGUGGAAAGUGGCGAAAGGGUGAGUAACGCGUGGGUAAGCUAUCUUCAAGUUCGGGACAACCCGCCGAAAGGCGAGCUAAUACCGAAUGUGGUCUUUGGAUGCAUAUCCGGAUGAUUAAAGGUGGGGCUCCUUUUGGACCUGCCGCUUUUAGAGGUGCCCGCGUGCCAUCAGCUUGUUGGUAGGGUAACGGCCUACCAAGGCUUACGGCUAGCCGGCCUGAGAGGGUGACCGGCCACACUGGGACUGAGACACUGCCCAGACUCCUACGGGAGGCUGCAGUCGAGGAUCAUUCGCAAUGCGCGAAAGCGUGACGAUGCGACGCUGCGUGGAGGAUGAAGGCCUUCGGGUCGUAAACUCCUGUCAUGAGGGAACAGCCAUUUCGCCCCUAAUACGGGUGGGAUCCGAUGGUACCUCAAGAGGAAGCCACGGCUAACUCUGUGCCAGCAGCCGCGGUAAUACAGAGGUGGCGAGCGUUGUUCGGAUCUACUGGGCGUAAAGGGUGCGUAGGUGGUUUUGUAUGUCGGAUGUGAAAGCCCAUGGCUCAACCGUGGAAUUGCAUUCGAAACUGCGGAACUAGAGUGCAGGAUGGGAGAGCGGAAUUCUUGGUGUAGCGGUGAAAUGCGUUGAUAUCAAGAAGAACACCGGUGGCGAAGGCGGCUCUCUGGAAUGCCACUGACACUGAGGCACGAAAGCUGGGGGAGCAAACAGGAUUAGAUACCCUGGUAGUCCCAGCCGUAAACGGUGCACACUUGGUGUGGGGAGAUUUAACCCUCUCCGUGCCGGAGCUAACGCGUUAAGUGUGCCGCCUGGGGAGUACGGCCGCAAGGCUAAAACUCAAAGAAAUUGACGGGGGCCCGCACAAGCGGAGGAGCAUGUGGCUUAAUUCGAUGCAACGCGAAGAACCUUACCAGGGCUUGACAUAUACCUGCACGCCCCUCGAAAGGGGGGAAACCUUCGAGGGUGGUAUACAGGUGCUGCAUGGCUGUGGUCAGUUCGUGCUGUGAGGUGUUGGGUUAAGUCCCGUAACGAACGCAACCCUUGUGGUUAGUUGCCACCGGCGGUGAUGAGCCGCCGAGCACUCUAGCCAGACUGCCCGUACAAGCGGGAGGAAGGUGGGGAUGACGUCAAGUCAGUAUGGCCCUUACGCCCUGGGCUGCACACGUGCUACAAUGGGCGGUACAAUGGGAAGCAAUACCGCGAGGUGGAGCAAAUCCCCAAGCCGCCCCCAGUUCGGAUUGAAGUCUGCAACUCGACUUCAUGAAGUUGGAUUCGCUAGUAACGGCACAUCAGCUACGGCGCCGUGAAUACGUUCCCGGGCCUUGUACACACCGCCCGUCACAUCAUGAAAGCCGUCUGCACCCGAAGUCGCUGAUCCAACCCGCAAGGGAGGAAGGUG
rnacentral:rRNA from 1 species